rnacentral:rRNA from 1 species
UCAGACACGUCAGAGUUUGAUCCUGGCUCAGGAUGAACGCUGACAGAAUGCUUAACACAUGCAAGUCUACUCGAAGUUAGCUUCGGCUAACGGACGGUGGCGGACGGGUGAGUAACGCGUAAAGAACUUGCCUUGCAGUUUGGGACAACAUCUGGAAACGGAUGCUAAUACCGGGUAUUAUGCUUUGACCGCAUGGUCUUAGUAUGAAAGCUAUAUGCGCUGCAAGAGAGCUUUGCGUCCUAUUAGCUAGUUGGUGAGGUAACGGCCCACCAAGGCAGUGAUAGGUAGCCGGCCUGAGAGGGUGAACGGCCACAAGGGGACUGAGACACGGCCCUU